CCUACGGGGGGCAGCAGUGGGGAAUAUUGGGCAAUGGGCGCAAGCCUGACCCAGCAACGCCGCGUGAAGGAAGAAGGCUUUCGGGUUGUAAACUUCUUUUCUGCGGGACGAAGAAAGUGACGGUACCUCAGGAAUAAGCCACGGCUAACUACGGGCCAGCAGCCGCGGUAAUACGUAGGUGGCAAGCGUUAUACGGAUGUAUUGGGUGUAAAGGGCGUGUAGGCGGGAAAGCAAGUCAGAUGUGAAAACUCAGGGCUCAACCCUGAGCCUGCAUUUGAAACUGUUUUUCUUGAGUGCUGGAGAGGCAAUCGGAAUGCCGGGUGUAGCGGUGAAAUGCGUAGAUAUACGGAGGAAAACCAGUGGCGAAGGCGGAUUGCCGCAGCGUUACUGACGCUGAAGCUCGAAAGCGCGGGUAUCGAACAGGAUUAGAUACCCUAGUAGUC
rnacentral:rRNA from 1 species